rnacentral:tRNA from 1 species
AUCCGAAUAGUGUAGUGGUUAUCACGUUUGCUUUACACGCAAAAGGUCUCCGGUUCGAAUCCGGGUUCGGGUA